rnacentral:ncRNA from 1 species
CUUGCCCCACUUUUUUCAGGUGUCCGUCGCACAGCGCGACGGGUGAAACGGGAAAUCGGUGAGUCUGGCUGCCCGCCAGCGCAAUUCCGAUGCUGCCCCCGCAACGGUAAGCAGGAUAACGGCAAUCUGACGCGCCACUGUGCUUAUGGCAUGGGAAGGUGAUUGUCCGGGAACCAUAUGUUCCGCCUGCAAGCCCGGAGACCGGCCUGGAAAAACACCCGAAG